AUUGAACGCUGGCGGCAGGCCUAACACAUGCAAGUCGAACGAGUGGCGGACGGGUGAGUAAUGUCUGGGAACUGCCUGAUGGAGGGGGAUAACUACUGGAAACGUUAGCUAAUACCGCAUACUAUCGGAUCACCCAUAUGGGAUUAGCUAGUAGGUGAGGUAAUGGCUCUCCUAGGCGACGAUCCCUAGCUGGUCUGAGAGGAUGAUCAGCCCAACUGGGACUAAGACACGGCCCAGACUCCUACGGAGGCAGCAGUGGGGAAUAUUGCACCAUGGGCGCAAGCCUUAUGCAGCCAUGCCGCGUGUAUGAAGAAGGCCCUAGGUUUGUCAAGUACUUUCAGGCGGGAGGCGUUACCGACAGAAGAAGCACCGGCUAACUCCGUGCCAGCCGCCGCGGUAAUUC
rnacentral:rRNA from 1 species